UCUCCGUUGGUGAACCAGCGGAGGGAUCAUUACAGGACUCGCAAGACUCCUACAACCCUGUGAACUUAACUACAAGCACGUUGCUUCGGCGGGUGUCUCGGAGGGGGUUCUCCCUCCCCGAGACGCUAAACCCGCCGGCAGCCUACUAUACUCUGUCUCUUUGCGUUGGCAUCUCGAGUACAAUCAAACAAGUUAAAACUUUCAACAACGGAUCUCUUGGUUCUG
rnacentral:misc_RNA from 1 species